rnacentral:rRNA from 1 species
CCUACGGGCGGCAGCAGUGGGGAAUAUUGGGCAAUGGGCGCAAACCUGACCCAGCAACGCCGCGUGAAGGAAGAAGGCUUUUGGGUUGUAAACUUCUUUUAAGGGGGAAGAGCAGAAGACGGUACCCCUUGAAUAAGCCACGGCUAACUACGUGCCAGCAGCCGCGGUAAUACGUGGGUGGCAAGCGUUGUCCGGAUUUACUGGGUGUAAAGGGCGUGCAGCCGGAGAGAGAAGUCAGAUGUGAAAUCCACGGGCUCAACCCGUGAACUGCAUUUGAAACUGGUUCCCUUGAGUGUCGGAGAGGUAAUCGGAAUGCGUGGUGUAGCGGUGAAAUGCGUAGAUAUAAGGAAGAACACCAGUGGCGAAGGCGGAUUACUGGACGAUAACUGACGGUGAGGCGCGAAAGCGUGGGGAGCGAACAGGAUUAGAUACCCUUGUAGUC